ensembl:lncRNA
GAAACGAUGAUGGCAGAAACAGCUUCCUCUGGAUAAUUAGCAUAAAUAUCUGCUUAGAACUGAGUAAUUUGUUCGCUGUACAGGAUGUACUGCAGCAGUUUUAUGAGCUAAAAGACACGGGGAAUGUUUUGAAUGACUGACAUUUGAAACAGCGCAGGCAGAUAUCGGGCACUUCUCAGGGACUGCCACGCUAAAAAGCCCCAUCAGAGUGGAUGAGUGUCCAUUCCCACCCAGCAUGGGGCCAGCCGUCCCUGGGGGGCUUCACCCAGACGUAUCCCUGCAGCUUCCCACUCAAAGCAAUGUUUCCACUUAGCGGAGGACUGGGGGGGAUCCAGACACUGACAACGGGAAAGGGAGAAUGUAGAAACAAAUGGAAAGAGAGAAGAAGAUGAAAAAAUCGGUGCUUUCUGCUGUCUUUGAAAUAAAACACGUGGUUUUCAAAAUGGUGACCUUUUCCAAACGGCCUUCAGAAAAGUGGGUCAUUUUGUUCCUCAGAAGCCGUGCUUGACAAGUGUGACUGGAGAAAGUGCCAUGGAGGACAGCCAUGGCUUUGGGGACAGGUCCAGCAGCGCUCCCCACGUGUCCAUCACAUCCAUCUCCAGCUGCCAAGAAGGCUUUCUUCAGGCUUCCUUUAUGCAUGCCUCUCCUCCAGAGCUCAGUGUGGAAAUGGUCUCCAAACAUUUUCACACUCAGAAUGCUGUUGGUUGGGUAGAGCAUCCGGGGCUGCGGACAGCCCCCUCAGACCCAUGGAGAGAUCUCUCAUGAGUUCACCUCCUGUGUGACUGUCCUUGCAGUUACUGCUUUGUGCACGAGCCCUGAUGUCCCGAGCUCACAGCACACACAUGGUGUUACUGACCAAGAUCCACCAUCUGUGCCGGAAAACUGCUGCAAAACCAAAGACAAAGUCUUGCUUUAAGCAAACAGAAAUGUCCAGGACAUACCAGACUUUAUGUUGGAAAUCAGAGCCAUAUUCUUCAAAACUCUGGCCCUUUGUUCAGACGCCCUUUGGAGACCUCCCGCAAAGACCUCAC